rnacentral:rRNA from 1 species
GAUCUUGGUGGUAGUAGCAAAUACUCAAAUGAGAACUUUGAGGACUGAAGUGGAGAAGGGUUCCGUGUGAACAGCAGUUGGACACGGGUUAGUCGAUCCUAAAGCAUAGGGAAACUCCGUUUUAAAGGCGCAAUACGCGCUGUAUGCUGAAAGGGCUGCCGGUUAAUAUUCCGGCACUUGGAUAAGGGUUCUUGUGGUAACACAUAUGAAAGUCGAGACAUUGGCGGGGGCUCUCAGAAGAGUUAUCUUUUCUUUUUAACGGUCUACCACCCUGGAAUCAGUUUGUCUGGAGAUAGGGUUUUAUGGCCGGAAGAGUUCUACAUUU